GAAAUGCGAUACUUGGUGUGAAUUGCAGAAUCCCGUGAACCAUCGAGUCUUUGAACGCAAGUUGCGCCCGAAGCCAUUAGGUUGAGGGCACGUUUCCUUGGGCGUCUCACGUUGCGUCGCCCGCGCCCCCUCCCCCGAAGGGGGGAAAAAGGGCUGCGGGCAGAUGUUGGCCCCCCCCGCGCGCGCGGUCGGUCCAAAAACGAGUCCCCCGCGGCUGAUGAUGCGUCGCGACGAGUGGUGGUUGACAAACCGCUACGUCGCCUCGCGCGUAUCCGGCCCGUCUCGGCAGGCCUGUCGUGACCCUAUCGCAUCGCCGCCAACGCGCUCCGAUCACGACCCCAAGUCAGGCGGGAUUACCCGCUGAGUUUAA
rnacentral:misc_RNA from 1 species